rnacentral:lncRNA from 1 species
AUUUAGAGAAAAAAAAUCAAAUCUCUUUAUCACCAACUGAAAUGGAGAUAUAUAUACUGGUGUCAAUCACUGCAGACAGUUGAAUUUCUACCCCAGCCAACCCAGGCUUUUUUCACACCUUGGCAACUUUGUGUUUCAGCACCUCAUGUCACCCCUUCCGAGGAAGCUUAUCCUUCUGUUCCAGGAUGGAUUCCCUGAUGAGACUUCAUCUGACAUCGUUCUACUUAUACUCAGUUGAGUUUUAUUUACAAAUUAACUCCACUUCUUACUCCUUCCUAAGUAUAGGCAAAAUAUUCUCUAAUUGCUUCAUCUAUAGCUCUAAUUUCUUUCAAGUCAGUGAAUUUUCCAAAGAGUGGGAACAUCUUAUUCUUUUAUAAUAGCCAUACCACUAGCACAGUACCAGGAACAGAAGGAAUGAAAUCUGCAUUUAAAUGUGGUAAAAGAGGGAGGCACAGGUGUGGUUUGAUGAGAUCACAGGAAAUGGAUCUAUAGAACUGCUGUGGAUCCUCUUCAAGUUUCUUCAUUUAUAAACAGGGAAUGAAGUAUCUCCUUGGAAAUUUAUGGUUAGGAUCAAAUAAAUUAAUAUAUGCCAAGUGCCUAGCACAAAGCAGGCUUAGGCUAUAUUUAUUCUUUUCUCCUUCCUAAUAGAAAGCAAUGUGCUUCAUGUUCUAAUAGAAUGUUAACCCUUAGGUUAAUGUUAAUCCUUAGUCUGGAGUCCAGAAUAAACUUGAGACUCUGUUUGCCCAUAUCCAUGUGAAUUGUUCUAAAAGUGUUUUUUUGUUGUUGUUGUUUUGUUUUUGUUUUUGUUUUUUAAUGUGGACUCACUAUGUUGUCCAGCCUGGCCUCAAACUCUUAGGCUCAAGGGAUCCUCUUGCCUCAGCCUCUGGAGUAGUUAGAACCAUUGAACCAUGCCCAGCUUGAGAAAUAUUUAUCCUAAUUCAUCCUUGAUGUGUAAGGGUAAUUGAGACAUGCUCACAUUUGUAAGGGCCUUUGUGAAAAUGUAGGGAGAAUCUGGUUACAGUCAAUCAGAAAAAGGAAGUCCCUUUGAGCACAGGAUUUAGCAGAAGCUAAAGACACCAAGCAGAAAGCAGGUCAAGUGGACUCUGCAAAAAUUCAAGUUCAGUGCUCUUCCCUAGUGCGACUCUAGUUCUUGUCCUGCCAGGCUCAACUCUAGAAAUCUCUGACUUGCCUUGUCCUAUUGCAUCUCUCUGAAUCUGGCUAUGCCCUUGGUCUGACUUAAAUUAGCACAAUGGGCCUUUCUCAUCAUUAUGAGGAUUCAGCAAUUAAUGAUGUGGACCUCCAUGGCAGCAAAAGGAAAUCAGCUUUGAUUCUUCCUUUCACCAAAUUUGAAACAAUAAAAUUUUAUUUGAUGGCAAGGAGGUACAAAAGCAAGUCAAGGUCCAUACCUGUUCUGAUUUAGCAUCUAGGUGUGUGUGUGAGAGAAAGACAGAGACACACAGAGACAGAGGCAAGAUGCAGAGACACAGAGAAAGGGGACAUAAAGAUUGUUGUUCAGUAGUUUUUAGAAGCCUGGGCAGAGUUCUGUUUACAUUUACCAUGAUACCGUUUGGAUGGUUAAAGGCCCAUGGUUAAAGGCUAGUUGCCCAAGUUGGCACUGUUGGACUUUUAGGAGGCAGAGCCUAGUGGGAGGUCAUUAAAACCAUGCCUCCAAGAGGGAGCCUGGCCAGUCCUCUUUCCCUUUUGCUUCCUGGUUGAUGAGAUGACCAGUUUUGCUCUGCUGCCUUCUCCCACUGUGAUGUGCGACCCCAUAGCAAGCCCCCAACAAUGGGGCCAAUCAAUCAUGAAUGGGAAUCUCCCAAACUGUGAGCCAGAAUAAACCUUUUCUCUUGUAAGUUAACUAGCUCAGGUAUUUCCUUAGAGUGACAGAAAAUUGGCUACGACACACAACCUUUCCAUUUCUGUCAUGCGUGACCCACCCUCAUCAACAGAUAAGGACACCAAAGACCAGAAAGAGCCUCUAUGUUUUGCUCAAAGGCACACGCCAAAAUGCUCAUUUGUGUCCUCAGUCCAGCUCUAGUCGUCUUGCCCUCAAGGGCCUUCCUCUGCAUCCUGCCUUUGUAAGGAUGGGAAGAAAAUAAAAAAUGAAAUUCUAAACAGCAAGGGAAGAGCAUGAGAGAAUGGAGUGGAGCAGGAACAGGAGAAGAGGCUCUCAGAAACGACAGCAGAGGGGUGGCCAGCCCCUGAGGGAUAAUGGGGUUAAAGAGCACCGAGCUGGAACUUACUGCAAAUAAUAGAUCAGUGGACAGAGGUUUAUACCCAGAAUACCACAUAUUUAUACCCAGGAUAUAGAAAGAACUCAGAAAACCUAAUACCAAGAUGAAUAACCCUCAAUAAAUGGGCAAACGAACUGGACAGACCCUUCUCAAAAAAAAAAAAAGAAGUAUAAACAGCCAAUAGUUAUAAGAAAACAUAUUCCACACUUUUAGCCAUCAAGGAAAUGCAAAUCAGAAUUACACUGAAAUUCCAUCUCACCUCAAUCGGAAUGGCUAUUAUCAAGAAUACAAAAAUCUAGCCAGGUGUGGUGGUGCACGCCUAUAAUAACCAGCGGCUUGGGAGGCUGAGGCAGG